CACAAUGGCACUCAGCACGCCCAACUUCUCUAAAGAAAAGGAAUUUAAAAGCAAAGAUGAAACCUGUGUGCAACUCAGGACAGAAAGACCAGAGGCCACACAUCCCUCAGAUACCUUUUAACUGGUCAUCAAUGAGUCUUCUUCUGGAUCUGGACUGGGAAAUAUCUAAGGAGGUCUACUGCUCUCAGAUCUGUCACGUUCAAUAAAUUGUCUACACACUUGAUAUGAAAAGGAUUAUUUCUCUAAUGACUUUG